rnacentral:tRNA from 1 species
UAGCUCAGUCGGUAGAGCAGGGGAUUGAAAAUCCCCGUGUCGGUGGUUCGAUUCCGCCUCCGGGCACCA